rnacentral:rRNA from 1 species
ACGAAGGGUGCAAGCGUUAAUCGGAAUUACUGGGCGUAAAGCGUGCGUAGGCGGUUGGCUAAGUCGGGUGUGAAAGCCCCGGGCUCAACCCGGGAAGUGCACUCGAAACUGGCAGGCUAGAGUACUGGAGAGGUUGGUGGAAUUCUCGGUGUAGAGGUGAAAUUCGUAGAUAUCGAGAGGAACACCGGUGGCGAAGGCGGCCAACUGGACAGAUACUGACGCUGAGACUCGAAAGCGUGGGGAGCAAACAGGA